AGUAAUCCACGCCUGAAGCAUGGAAGGCCAAUCGGUUCCAAAGAUAUAAAUCCUUGUAAAAGGAAAGGAGCAAUUAUUCAAUAUGGUAAUAUUGUGAAGGCAAAUGCCCCAGAAGAGGCCAAAGAUAUAACUAAUCAAAAAACCCCAGAAGAGGUUCAGGUACCUGAAAAUGGUGAUAACUAAGAAAUCUCAAUAAGUUAUGUUACUUCAAGAAAAAUAUGGAACCGAAAAAAUAUAGUUGCCGAGAACAAUUUUGCUUAGAAUGUUGCUACUGAAAUAGCAAAAGAAAAUGAGGAUCCUAAGCCUAAAUCUAUUGAGGAAUGUAGAAAUACAAAAGAUUGGCCAAAAUAGAAAGACGCAAUUCAAGCAGAAUUAAAUUCACUUUCUAAACAUGAGGUUUUUGGACCUAUAGUCCAAACCCCUAAAUAUGUAAAGCUGGUAAGAUAUAAAUGGAUAUUUGUACGAAAAAUUAAUGAGAAAAAUGAAGUCGUAACAUAUAAAUCACGACUUAUAGCACAAGGAUUUUUGCAAAGACUCGACAUUGAUUAUGAAGAGACAUAUUCUCCUGUGGUGGAUGCAAUCACGUUUAGAUACCUUAUUAGUCUAGCAGUAUGUGAAAAAUUUGACAUACAUCUAAAGGAUAUCGUUACAACUUAUUUGUAUGGCACACUUGAUAGUGAAAUUUAUAUGAAAAUCCUAGAAGGAUUUAAAAUCCCUGAAGGAUAUAGAGUUUCCCGGGAAAAUUGCUUAAUCAGAUUAAAAAAAGUUUAUAUGGAUUAAAAUAAUCUGGACGUAUGUGGUACAAUCCUCUUAGUGAAUAUUUGUUAAAAGAAGGUUAUAAAAAUGAUCCAAUCUGCCCAUGUGUUUUUAUAAAAAGGUCUGAAUCAAACUUUUUGAUAAUUGCUAUUUAUGUUGAUGAUCUAAAUAUUAUUGGAACUCUUGAGCUUCAAAAUGAAGUAAAUUAUUUAAAGAAAGAAUUUGAGAUGAAAGAUCUUGGAAUAGCAAAAUUUUGUCUUGGCCUGCAAAUCGAGCAUUUAAAAAGAUGCAAUUCAUGUCCAUCAGUCAACUUAUACAAAAAAGAUCUUAAAAAAUUUUAUAUGGAUAAAGCACAUCAAUUGAGUACCCCAAUGGUUGUACGAUUGUUAGAUGUAAAUAAAGAUAAAUUUUGUCCUUGUGAGAAUGAUGAAUAGUUUCUUGGUCCUAAUGUACCAUAUCUAAGUGUCAUAGGAGCAUUGAUGUAUCUUGCAAACAACACAAGACCUGAUAUAGCUUUUGCUGUAAACUUGUUAGUAAGAUUUAGUUCUUCUCCAACACGUAGACAUUGGAAUGGAAUUAAACAUGUAUUUAGAUAUCUUAGAGGGACCAUUGAUAAGGGGAUAUUUUAUUCAAAUGAUUCAAAAUCCCUAUUAGUUGGUUAUGCUGAUGCUGGAUAUUUAUUAGAUCCACAUAAAGGUCGAUCUCAAACGGGAUAUUUAUUUACAUGUGGAGGUACUGCCAUAUCAUGGCGUUCGACAAAGCAAACAUUACCUGCUGCCUCUUCAAAUCAUGCUGAAAUAAUUGCAAUGCAUGAGGCAAGUCGAGAGUGUGUUUAACUAAGGUUAUUAACCCAACAUAUCUAGAAGAUAUAAUUUUCCUUUUACAGGAAAAUAUGCCAACUAUCUUAUAUGAAAAUAAUGCAGCAUGUAUAGCUCAAUUAAAGGGUGGCUAUAUCAAAGGUGACAGAACGAAACACAUUUCACCAAAAUUAUUCUUCACUCAUGAUCUUGAGAAGAAGUGUGACAUAGAAGUUCAACAAAUUCAUUUCAGUGAUAAUUUAGCGGAUCUUUUUACCAAGGCAUUGCCAACUUCAACAUUUGAAAGACUAUGAAACAAGAUUGAAAUGCGUCGACUCAAAGAUAUAAUGCGAUGUCGUCAUUAGGGGAGUCUAAAACAUGUUGUACUCUUUUCCUUUAACCAAGGUUUUGUCCCACUAGGUUUUCCUGAUAAAGGUUUUUAACAAGGUAACUUGUAAUAAGAGAUUGUGUACUAUUUUUCCUUCAGUAGAUUUUUACCCCACAUGGUUUUUCCUAAUAAAGGUUUUAAUGAGGCACUGUUUUCUCUAGUGGACAUCCAAGAAGGAGUGUUAUAAAUAAAUGUGAAUGUCCAUAUUCUAACACCCCAUCAUUUAUGAGGUAAAACCUCCCCUUCAUUAUGCAAUGUUUAAUAUAUGCAUUAAUGAAGCACUUAAGUAAGCUUCAUUUAUGGUAUUGCAUUGAAUGUUAAUUACUUAUAAAUUAUAAAUAGAAUCCUUACCUGAGUGAAAUAAAAAAAAAAGAAAAAAAUUCUAUUUUCAUUCACUUUUAUUUAUUGUUUUAUCGUUUUCUUAUAACAAUAUAAUGGUAUUUUCAUCUUUUACUAUUUCUAUAUUAAAUGUUUACAUAAAUGAACUAAAGAUACUGUAUUUAAGAUUUAAACCUAAUUUUUGGAAAAGUAUUCAUUUUGCCUAAAACUCAAUUGUUGCUUAUUUUUCUUUUGGUUUUUUAAAAAUAUAAUUUUAAUAUUAAAAUUUAUUUUCACCCACAUCUAUAAAAUUUAAUUAUUGGUUCUUACUUGGAUGUAUUUUUGUUGAUUAGAAAAUGAGAAGUCGGAAAAUUUUUAAAAUUGGAAAAUUUUUGGAUACACCGAAAUGUAUUAUUGCCGCCAUAGUUCCAAAAAACCAUCCAGAACCUAAGCAAAAGUUAAAUUGAAUCUUGUGCCUGUUAAAUUAGAUUGUUUUUACAUUUCUAUUAAUUAAAAUUAAUGAAUUAAAAAAUAUUAUUGUUUUUUAAUAUUAAUCUUAGUAUAGAUUGUUAUCAUAUUUGUAUUUUUUUAUACAAUACCUAAAACUAUCCAUAAUCUCUCAUCAACCCUUAAAUAGGAGGAUAAUGCACUUCAACAUACUCGAACUCAUGUCCUUCUACACUAACAAUAAUAUUGAUGUAAGAAUUGUCAAAUUACAUCUACGAUAAUAUAUAUAUCAUUUACUUUGAGAAUGAAAAUCAUCUUUACAAAUUUGCCCUUUAAAAAAAUAUAAGUCAUGAGAAAAAUGUUAACUUUGUUUCCCCUCUCUUUUUAAUACUUUAAACAAUCAUUGUAUCAACAAUGGUAUUAUUUAUAAAGAAUUUGUUCUAGAUCUAUUUAAUCCUGAUAAAACAUAUCUACUCUUAUAUCUACUAAAGUUAGUGUUGGGAAGAGAAAGAGACAAUCCACAUCGACUAACUAAUAAUUAAAUUGUGACACAUAAGAACAUUUUCAAAAAAAAAAUUAUUUUUAAAAAUGAUUUUUUGUAAAUCAAACCAUUCUUUAACAAAGAAGGUUUACAACUAAUACAACACAAUUGUGUCUAAUACGUUACUUAAGUGCCCUCUACUUGAAUUCAUUUUAAUAUUAUUAUUUGACUAUACAAUUAAAACCCAUAUGAAGUCAAUUGCGUUUUAACUCGAUUGGUAUGAGCAUUGUUGUCAAAACAAGAGGACGUGGGUUAGAUUGCGCUGAAGUAUAUUAUCCUCUUAUUUAUGAAUUGAGGAGGGAAUAUGAAUAGUUUUAAGUAUUGUAUCAAGAAAAUAGAUAUAAGAUAUUUCAAAAAAGAAAAAAAAUCACCUGAAAAUCUUAAAAAAAAAUUACAAAUUACUCGUAAAAGGAUGCACGCAAAAUAGCCCAUUAUUUGGGCAAGACAAAAUAGCCCAAAUUAAAGCCCAUAAAAACGUAAAAAAAUCCAAAGCUAAGGCCCUAAUGUAACCAAGCAUGUGGCUACCAAUCAGUUCCAAACAUGUGGUCGCCGCUCAAUCUUAAUCACACGUCACAAACUUCUAUGUAAUCCUCCAAACGCCAAGGGUUAAUUCCAUCAAAUAUCCUCAAACUAUUGCUCAAAAUCUAAAUUGAUCUUUAAAUUUCAAAAUAUUCUAAUUGAGUCUUUAAAGGAUAAGUAUUGUAUAAUCAAAGCUUUUUUUUAGCCUAACCAUUAAUUAAAUACUAAUUCAGCUUCGACAUAGAGUAUCUUAAAACAUAUGGAUCGAAUUGAAAAAUUAUGUACCUAUCACAUUUAAUCAAAAUUGUCAAUGCAUUGGAUGCACACAUGUUAAUAAAAUUUAAGAAGACUAUGCAUUUAUUUUUAAAAUUAUCAAAUAAAAAUUUUCUAAAUAUAUUUAUAAUUUGAUUUACCUAUUUUAAAUAUGAUAUAGUCAUAUUCAUAUUGGAAUUUAAUGCCAAAAUUGAUGUGUAUAUUAACUAAAAGACAUGAUUGUUAUAAUAUUAAUACUUCAAGAUCACAAAUAAAGGAUUUUAAAAUUCAAGGACAAAUUUAAAAUUUAGAUAGUAAUUUAAGGACGUUUGGUGCAGUUAAUCCCCUAAUCUUUGUCCCUUUUGCUCCUGAUGAAACGAAGACUCAAUGAUUUUUCUCUAAUCCAACGGCUCAAAUUCUCCCAUAAUAAUAUCUUUCGCUAAUGCUCUAUUAUCGUGUCUCUAUCUCUACGACUUUUUGCAGAUAAAAACGCUAACUAAAACGAACAUAUAAAUCAUCCUAUUUUUAAUUUAUAUUUUGAAAAAAAGAUUAUUCCUGAUUUUUUUAGGUUUCCGGCAAUGUUAUCUACUGAAUUUCUACGACCGGCGACGAUAACAUUCCACGGUAAAUUCAGCACAAAUUCUUACUCUAAUCUUCUUUAUCUACAUGGAUUAAACUUCAAAGCCAUUCGGUUUAGGGUUUUGCAACAAAAAACGAACCGUUUCUUCCCCAAUUCUAUCACUUCCACCCUAAAGAACGUCGCCGUUGUGGGAAACCACGAGAGAUUAAAUCUUUACGGAAGAGGUAAAUUAAGGUUCAAAGAGAGCAAAAUUUUGGCUAAUUGUACGGACAGCAGCGAUUCGAAGGCGAGCUCCGGCGAGAAAAAUGAAAGCGAAGGUGGGCAAGGAGUGACGCAGAAACAGAGUCCGUCAAAUUCGGGGGGUUCGACUAAUCAGAGAGGAGAAAAGGGUGGAAGAAGCGGGUUGUGGAGGUCCAAAGGAAAGAAAUGGCAGUGGCAACCGAUAGUUCAAGCUCAAGAAAUUGGUGUUUUGCUUUUACAGUUGGGUGUUGUUAUGUUCGUUAUGCGACUGCUCCGACCCGGGAUUCCGUUGCCCGGGUCCGAGCCUAGGAUCCCGACGACUUUUGUCAGCGUUCCUUACAGCGAGUUUUUGAAUAAGAUUAAUAGUAAUCAGGUUCAAAAGGUGGAGGUUGAUGGAGUUCAUGUAAUGUUCAAACUGAAGAACGAAGGGAGCGUUCAAGAGAGUGAAAUUGGUAAGUUUCAGGAGUCGGAGUCCUUGUUGAGGAGUGUGGCGCCUACAAAGCGAAUUGUAUAUACAACAACUCGGCCUAGUGAUAUUAAGACUCCAUAUGAGAAGAUGCUGGAAAACGAUGUGGAGUUCGGGUCUCCCGAUAAGCCAUCUGGUGGAUUCUUCAACUCUGCAUUGGUAAGUUGUGUUUUUUGUUUGUUGUCAUGAUUUGAAUGAAACUAGAUUAAUUGCUUCUUUUUAAAAAAAAAAAAAAAGAAGAAGCUUUUGUUAGAGUUCUUAAUGAGUUAACCAGUUGAAUGGUAAUGGUUUUGUUGGGGGUAGCAGUUUUUUUGUGGUAGGCUGCCUGAUUGAAGUAUGUAAUCUAGGAGAGGAGAGGAUCUUCUCUUGCCUUCUUUGGACUAGGAAUCUCAAAGAGUGAUCUGAUGGGCCCUCUAUUAUUGGGUAAUCUAUUUCCUCUUCAGGUGGCAGGAAUGUAGAGGUUGUAGUUGGUGGACUAUGAUUGGUUAUAAUUUGGGACAAGAAUACCUUCAGUUACUCCGUUCACUUGGUUCUUUCUAAAUCAUGUGUUUGUAUACGUCUGUGGAUUUUUGAUUUGACUUCCUCUCUUUUGCAGAUAGCUUUGUUCUAUGUUGCUGUUCUUGCGGGACUUCUCCAUCGGUUCCCUGUGAAUUUUUCUCAGGUUUGAAUUUGCUUGUAAGCUCUUUGAGUACAUUAAUGUUUUUGUAGUACUGAUAGUUCUGAUUUGAAUCAUGCAUAUAUGCAGCAUACAGCUGGUCAGAUUAGGAAUCGCAAGACAAGGAGUUCUGGGGGUUCAAAAGCCUCUGAACAAGGUGAAACAAUAACUUUCGCUGAUGUGGCUGGUGUUGAUGAGGCAAAGGAGGAACUUGAAGAAAUUGUGGUAUUUUAAAUAUUAUUCCACUUAAUAUGCUACCAGUAAUUGAUAUUUGCAGUGAAUGCUCCCUUGAAGUUCUAGUAUUGUCUUUAUAUUCUUAUGUUUACUGCCCAGGAAUUUCUUAGGAAUCCAGACAGGUAUAUACGGCUUGGUGCUCGUCCUCCACGAGGAGUUCUCCUGGUGAGUUGAUACUAGGGACAUUAAGCAUGAUGGGCUUUCUGAAAAAAUUAGCUGAAACUAUAUUUGAUGCUGUUGAAGAAGCUUUUGGUCUAAGAAGUCAGGGCCUAUGUGAAAAACUUCAUUAAUAUCUGAAAAUUCUGGCAUUAAGUUUGCUACUUCUGUCUCUUACUCUUAGAAUAUCUUCAUCAAAAGCUUUUGGUCCUCUAAAGCUUUCUACUUGUCAUUCUUGUCAAGAUAAGUUCACAAAGUUUCAGAUGGAAUUCAGCGUGUUCACUGUCUCCACUUAGUUCUCAGAUGCUAGUGUUAUAUGAUGGUUUCCUUGCAUGGUUACCUCUUUUCUGAAAACUAUAGUCAGUAUUUAUGAUUUUAUUUGUGAUGCAGGUGGGUCUUCCUGGGACAGGCAAGACUCUUCUAGCAAAAGCUGUGGCUGGUGAGGCCGAAGUUCCAUUCAUAAGUUGUUCUGCAAGUGAGUUUGUAGAGUUGUAUGUUGGCAUGGGUGCAUCACGAGUUAGAGAUCUCUUUGCACGAGCUAAGAAGGAGGCACCAUCAAUAAUUUUUAUUGAUGAGGUCAGCCUGUGAGCAUUAUAAUUUUGUUGGAACAAUAUGUUUAACCUCUUUUUUGUACAGUAGAGUUUUGUAACACCUUUCCUUGCACACAGAUAGAUGCCGUGGCUAAAAGUCGCGAUGGUAAAUUUCGCAUUGUUAGCAAUGACGAACGGGAGCAAACUUUGAACCAAUUACUCACUGUAACGUUCCCUGCAUCAUAGUUUUUCUGCUCAUGUGGACCUCUUGGCCGUUCCCCUUUGAAGCUAACAUUUCUGAACUACAUUGCAGGAGAUGGAUGGAUUUGACAGCAAUUCCGCUGUGAUUGUUCUUGGAGCUACAAACCGUUCUGAUGUCUUGGAUCCUGCCCUUCGUCGACCAGGGAGAUUUGAUCGUAUUGUUAUGGUUUGUAUCAUGCACUAUAUUUCAAUUGAACUUGCAGAAUGUUGGAAUCUGCCAUAUCAACCAGUUCCUUUUUGCUUAACUCGUAUCUCAUGGAGAUUAUGUCUGGAAUGGUUUCCAGGUAGAGACUCCUGACAGGAUUGGAAGAGAAGCUAUUAUAAAAGUGCAUGCCUCCAAGAAGGAACUUCCCCUUGGAGAUGAUGUUGAUCUUGGUGACAUUGCCUCUAUGACUACUGGUUUUACUGGGUAUUUUCUCAUUUACAUUGUCAUAUUUAAGUACACUGCUUCCCAAUCUCCUCUUCAGCUUCCUUUCCUCUUCAUAAAUUUCUACUUGUUGAUGAUGUGGGGAUGACUUAACGAAUUUUCUUUUUUUCAUUUCGCAGGGCUGAUCUUGCAAAUCUGGUAAAUGAAGCAGCCUUACUCGCUGGAAGAAAUAAUAAAGUUGUUGUAGAGAGGAUUGAUUUCAUUCAGGCAGUAGAACGAUCAAUAGCUGUAAGUCUCUCUCUCUUUGAUCAUUGUUUUGUUUAUUUGUUACAGUUUUCUAUUGUGACUCCUUAUAUUACAUCCAUUGGUUUCAGCUGUUUCCAUCUCCAAUGUUUUUAAACAUUUUUCUUCACAUUUUCCCUUGCCUUGAAAGUUAAUUUUAAUUAUUACUCCCAUAGCCAAUGAUGCUAUGCAAUCUUCUCAGUCUAGUUAUUGGCUUUGAUUCUUGGUUUUACUUUGUACCAUUCAUGUUUUGAAUUACUUUAUCACAAAACACAGAUAUUUGAGGGCAAAAAAAAAAAAAAAUGGAGUUUUUGUGCAAUCCUUUUAUAUUGCUUUUUGCACUUUCUAAUGAGACUAUCCUUAGGGAUAAAGGAUAUUCUCCAAUCUACUGUGAUUUACAUAGUUCCUCUUAGACAUUUGUCUCACAAGAUGUGUAAUUUUACUAAAGAAUUAUGAGAAAAUACUAAACUGAAAUUGAGUGACGAAAAGAAUGAUAUUUCAUAGGGCAUAGAGAAGAAAACUGCCAAAUUGAAGGGAUGUGAGAAGGCUGUGGUUGCAAGGCAUGAAGCUGGCCAUGCAGUAGUAGGUACAGCUGUUGCAAACCUUCUUCAUGGACAGCCACGUGUUGAGGUAAACAAUGGCAAUAAUUUACUUAAUCUCUCUCUCUCUCUUUUUUUUUUCUUUGUUUGUUCUUGUUAACUCAAUUUGAAAUUUGAAAAUGAUAAAAGAAAAUAUAUGAAAUUUGAAUGGAAAGUUCUGAGCUUGUGCUGUGUAGUUUAGGAGUGUGUACUGUUCACGUCAUGUACCAGAGACGGUCCCAGGGCAAUAAUUUCUAUCUUCCUUGUUAAGAAGAUAAUUGGCUUCUUAGCCAUUGACCUUCCUAAUUGUUUGUUUCUCUUUUGGUACUUGGGAGUUGGGAGGUCUGACAAGACCUAGAGUACAACGCUGACCUCAUAAACAGUAGUAUAUUUUCAAAUUUUCAAGCAACAUUUUGAAAAUUAGAAUGAAAUUGGAGAAUUAGAUUUCUUUACUUGUUAUACAAAAUUUUUAAUCUUGUUUGGUACAAGUGGGAGGUCCACUUGAUCUUUGGUUAUACAUGGAAUUAAGAACAAUAAUGUUUAACUUAUUAAGGUUGGGUUGUUCAAUAGUUGUCACAAUGGGCUUAAAUUAUCCCUGCGGCUUUGUUCACAUGAAAUGGAUAAUAUGGUAACUAGUCAACUCUUUUUGUCUGCAGAAACUGAGCAUACUGCCCAGAUCUGGAGGAGCAUUGGGCUUUACUUAUAUUCCUCCUACCAAUGAGGAUAGAUAUUUACUCUUCAUUGAUGAGUUACGUGGCCGUUUGGUUACUCUUCUUGGUGGACGUGCUGCAGAGGAAGUUAUCUAUUCAGGUCGUGUUUCUACUGGUGCACUUGAUGAUAUUAGGCGGGCGACAGACAUGGCAUUCAAGGCAGUAGCUGAAUAUGGUCUUAAUCAGACUAUAGGGCCUCUCUCUUUAGCUACGGUUUCUGGUGGAGGCAUGGAUGAAUCCGGGGGUGGAGUUCCUUGGGGACGAGAUCAGGUCCCUUUUUUAUACUCUUUUUCAUUAAAGUUCAGUUGAUCUUUUUUGUUUCCAAUUCCUACAGUGUCUGUAAUGAAGACUGAUCCAAAACGGAACUUGCAGGGACAUCUAGUUGAUCUUGUCCAAGGAGAGGUGAAGGCAUUACUGCAGUCUGCCCAUGAAGUAGCCCUUUCUGUUGUACGUGCUAAUCCAACUGUUUUGGAAGGGCUUGGUGCUCACCUGGAAGGUAAUCUGUUUUUGCUACCUGUUUUGUAUGUCAAAAUUCCUGAUCAUCCAAUUCGUUUUUUCAUUCUUUGCUAUAAGUUAUGAACUCGAGGUGUUUUUCAGAAAAUAAAAUCUAAUGGAAACUUACAAGGGAUCUAAUAGGUAGAUGAUUCCGAUAGCCGACUUUCCCUACUUGUUUGCUGUUUGAUGAAAUAUGUAUUGCUAUUUUGACAAUUUCCCUGAUGAACUCUUCAGUUCUACUUGUCAGUUCUUUAAUGCUAUUCACCAUUGUUUUGUUUAAAUUAUCUUAGUACUGAUGUAGUUUAUAUCCUAGUGUAGAUAACAUUCACACUCUUCAAACGGUUUAAUUUUUGUUGUGAAGUCAAUAUUCUGCAUCUUUAAAAAGGGGAAAGGAGAUCACUCUUUACUUCAUACUAUGGUCUAAUGCUUCGCUUUAUUCAGAAAAUGAGAAAGUAGAAGGUGAAGAGCUACAAAAAUGGUUGAAAUUGGUUGUUGCACCAAAGGAACUAAUCAUCUUCGUUGAAGGCAAGCAAGAGUCUCUUCUGCCGGUUCAAGCGGGCUCUGGAUAAGUGUUUUGCUCAUUGCUUGUCAACAUUGAGCAUUGCAUUGAACCAACCGACUAUAUCUUUCUUUGCACCUUGUCAAUGACCAUGCUGUGGCUACCGGCAUCAAAGCUCCCUUGCGCUUUUUUUUUUUCAUAUUUCAGCAAGGUGAGUCCUGGCUUAAGUAUUAACACUACGAAGUCUUCUCAUUAUUUUAUUCUCACUACACUUACCAGAGGAAACAUAGAGAAGGAAAUGGUGAAGCUGAAUAUUUAUUUCCCGAAAAAUCCUUCAAGCUUGUCUUCCCGUUCUUGAUAUUAUGGUGAUAAGUUCAGGUUGGUCUCCGUCUGUUCUGUUGUACAUUGGCUAUUAUUUUUAUCAGUCAUAACGGGUGGAGUUUUAACAGUAAUUGAGUUGUACACAUAAUUAUUAUGUGAAAUAUAAUAUAAGAUUAUUGCACAUAAUAAUGUUGGGUUAAAAAUGUGUCUUCAGAAGAACAUUGUACAUAUAGUAUGCUGUAGAAAAUACAUGCUGUUAAUAAUAGUUUCCCAAAAUGGAACUAAACAUUAUUUUUGAGCAUUGACAUGAAACCAGAAGUGUAAUUUCCUUCGUCCGAGAACAUGACACAUCAAAUAAAAAUAUAAAAACAGUACAAUUAACAAAAACUAAUAUGAUAUGCCCAACCCUCAUGUUUUGUAUUUAGGAUUUUGAUACAUUUAAUAAUUUAUCUUAUAUUAUAUCUGUCAAUUCAGCAGGUCAGGUUGGUUUUGGGUAUUGUUAAAUUAUCAAAUCAUUUUGGUUUGGUCUAAUUUAGAGUUCAAGUGAUUUCAGGUUUGAUUCUUUCAAGUUUGGGUUAUUUUAGUUCAUGUUGGUUCUUUUGGGUUAAUUGUUCGGACCAUUUUGAGUUGCGAUUGUUUUGGUUUGUUGCCUUUUAGUGUUAAAUCAGGUUAAAUCGGUGUGAAUCAAAAUUAAAAAUCUAUUUAUGUUUAUCCAAAUGUUCUUAAUUGAUUUAUUUUAGAUUUUUACAUAGGAAAGCAUUAGGGAGUAUAAGAUUAUGUUUGAUAAUUGAAAAGUUUUAUAAAAUAUGUUAAAAUUAAAUAUUUAAUAUAAUUAAAUUGUUUAAUAAAACAAUUAAAUUUAUUCUCUAUUUAAGUCUGUCUAAUUAUUUGCAUUCUGAGUUAAAAUAUUGAAAAUAUUAAUAUCCAGUUAAUUGAAUCUUUUAAACGCAUUUUAAAACAGAGCCUAAAUUAGACGUUUUACCAACUGAAAGCAAAAGCCAUCUAAUUAAGGGUGGGGUUUCAGUAUUUUUGACUUUUGCAUUUUAAAGUAUAAAUUAUCAAAAUAUCUUGUUUUUUAUUAACUAUUUAAAAUGUAUAUAAAAUUUUGGAUUAAUUUAUAUUUCAUGUGUCAUCAUAUUAAAUCAUUUAAAUAUGAUUUUAUUAUUAUAUUUAAAAUUUUAAAUUAUUUCAUGUCUAAUUAAAUUUAAAAAUAAUUUAUUAAUUAUUAAAAAAUAUUUUAUGUAUAAUUAUGUUAAAUUAUUUAAAUAAUAUCUAAUUUAAUUUAAUUUUUAAAUUUUCAACACUAGACAUUUUAAUUUUUCAUUUUAAAUUUUAACUUAAAAUUAAAACCGUCCUUUUUAAAUUGAACUUUUCACAAACAUAUCUUAGCAAUAGGCGAAGCUGGCCCUACAUCAUGAGGAGUUGAGAAGAAUGAAGGGUGAUGAGUCCGUUGAGGUUUGAUAUUUUGGCCCUCAAAAAUAUCAGUGUUGCUUUCAGAUCACAAUUUCGUUCUUUUGUCCGCAUCCUCGGGAAACAAACAAAGAAGUCCACUCGACCUGUUUACCUUUUCUCUCAUUUGGACCACAGUUCAAGCAACAGGUGGCCCAAUGUCAUCCUUUAAUUCCCAAUCCUUGUAUUCAACAAUAAAAUAUUUAAUUCAAGAUUAACGUAAAAUAGUACGAGUAGGGAUUGAGGUCUUUUACAAACAUUCCAAUGAAUUGAAUUUUAAAUUUUAAAUGUUUGGUUUAAUUUGAGGAAAAUCUUAUUUAAUUUAUAUACAUAUUAUAUACAUAAAAAAAUAGUCAGUACAAUUUUAGAUAUAAAAAUAAAAAAAAAUUAGUAAAAUCUUUCGUAAAAAAAUAAAACAUCUUCAAAAUAAAUAAUUUUUUUUCCUUUUCUUUACUAAAAAUAAGAUACGGAAAUGAUUAAAUCUUACCAAAUAAAUUAGUUUAUUACUCACUUGUAAACAUGCAGGACAAAUAAUACUCCUACCAAAUGUAGCUAAAGUGUUUUAUUUGAAUUCUCAAAGUAUCAAAUAUUGUAUCAAUUAUGCUUUUUCAUCAGUCUAAUAUUAAAUUUGGAUGUUAAAUGUUAACUCGAAUUUAAUAUGAAGAAUAUUUAAAACAUAUAGAUCAAAAUUUAAACAUGCGUAUACCAAAUGCAUUAACAAUAAAUUUGAUGCGUUAAAAAAAUAUCAUUAUUAAAAUUUAAGAAAAUUACAUUUUUUUCUUUUAGUACAUUAUAUCUAAUCUGUUUAUAUGAUAAACAUACAUGUAUUUAGAAUUUGACAUAUUUGUUUUAAAUAUGAUUCUCGUCAAAUUUGAGUUAACAUUUAUAUCUAUGUUGACAAUUAGGUUGAUGGAAGGAAGCAAUUGAUAUGAUAUCGAUGCUUUGAAAAUUAAAUUAGAAUGAUAUAAAGUUUGAGGAUUAAUUUAAAAUAUAAGUUAUAGUUUAGGGACAUAUAAUGAAAUUAACUCUAAAAAUGUAUAUAGAAAAUAUCUAAUAAAUGCACCACGUAAGCAUGCGCUUUUUCAUUAUUUUUGAGAGGGGAAAAAAAUGUUUCUGUCACUCUUUUACCAAUAUAAAUGGAAGAAGGCUGUGCAGGACGAGUGCUCAGUUAUUAUUCGAGAGCUCUCUCACUCUCCACUUUAGAGACGCUUAAUAGGGAUAAGAUCUUCCAGGUUCCUCCUCUUUUUUCACUCUUUUUUUUUUUAAUUUCUUUUGUUUGUUUGGCUGGUGAGAAAAUUAAAUUAAAUCUAAAUAAAUAGCACAUUUUCUUUUUAUUCUCCUUUUUUUUCUAGAUCACUGCAUGCUGGUUUAAUUCAAACAUAGGCUUGUAAUUUUACGUGUUUUUCUUUCUUUCUUUUUAUUUGUACUGCCCUGUUAUAUCAGAUACACUGAACCACUAAGGAAGCUGUUGUUUUUUCUUCUUAAUUUUGGUAACGUUUUCUGCGAUUAUAGUAAGUUAAUUAUUUAUAAGUGAUAAUGGUGAGUUAUAAAUCAGCGGUUGGAUUUGUAUGAGAAGUCUUCUUAAAUCUUAAUGGAUAUGCUCUAUGCUUAUUAAUCUUGAAUGCCUUUCUAUUUUAGUUCUGAAGAAAUUCAAAUUUUGACCUAUACGAAAAGUAAUGUUUACUUGUGCAAAAUAUCCAAGAUUAUGCAUUUUCUUUAGCAUUUUAUAUGAAUACACAGCACACUGAACCAGGAGACAUAUAUAUUGCAUAUAUAUUGUAGAUCGAGGGUUUUCACUGAAAUGCAUAGAACUAUGUAAUCACAUUUACGUCCAUCGUGGUGUCCUUUAGAUUAUUAUUUAUUAGAAACUAGACUAGAAUUCUUCUGUUUAUCUGAUGAAAACUUUAUGAAGUUGGAAAUACUAGAGUAUAGACCUUCUGUCCUUGCUGGUAAUGCUGAUUAACGCGGCAUUUUUUCUUUUUCAUUCUAGAUUUAUCUUUUAUGCCAUUAGUUAAUUUAUUUGUAUAUUUAAUGUAUACAAAUUUGUUAUUUUUAUUCUCAAGAGUAGGCAACGAUAAUUGCUUUUUUUCUAAUCAAAUUCGACCUUCACGUCCUGCAUUUAUCAAUUAUGUUUGUUCUCGAUGUUUUAUGUAUAGUUAAUCAUUUGAUGAUUGUGUGGUGAUGAUUUAUUGAUAACUCACGACAUGCUUGGUCAAUCCAGAUAUGGCAUCGGUGCAUGCUAGCUUCACAUCAGUUGUAUGCAAGAAUGGCAACCAUUCUGCUCCUUCAUGGUUUCCUUGUACGACCUUCUUACCCGGCUUUGAUGUGGUUGGCCGUGUUUCAAAUGCUUGUAAGAAGGAAAUAUGCCCUUCUAUGAGUUCAGGUCCUAAAGCCACAUUAACUUUUGAUCCUCCAACAACCAAUUCAGAGAAAAGCAAACAGAAGAAGCAUACCAUAAAUCCUGCUUCCCCUGAUUUUAUGCCACUUCCAUCAUUUGAAGAAUGUUUCCCAAAGAGCUCAAAAGAAUGCAGGUUAAUUUAGUUAUAUAUAUGCAAUUUGUUGGUUCUGUUUUCUUUCCCUUUUGCUUGAAAACACUUUUUAUGCGUGAUGAACCUUUCAGGGAGGUUAUUCAUGAAGAAUCUGGCCAUGUACUCAAGGUUCCCUUUCGAAGGGUUCAUUUGACUGGAGAUGUGCCAAACUUCGACACAUAUGACACCAGUGGUCCUCAAAACAUCAAUCCACGCAUUGGUAGGAUGCUCAACCUUGCUCUCAGCUUCUUGCUCCUUUUUGAAGGACAUUAGCUUUUCUUCACUUUGUUUUGCUUAGCCAACUCCCCUCUUAUAUGUUCUUGAUAAAUCUUUGAUUGUUUGUUUGGGUCUUUACUCCACUAUGAUUAUUUUAUGUUCCUUUCAUAUAUUGGAUCUCUUGAUAUUGUUAUAGUUUUAUGGUCAAGUUAAAUGCUAAGUUUUGUACUUGACAUCUUUAAACAGGACUCCCUAAAUUGCGCAAGGGCUGGGUUGACAGACGGGAAAAACUGGGUGCACCUAGAUACACUCAGAUGUACUAUGCUAAGCAGGGAAUCAUUACUGAGGAAAUGUUAUAUUGUGCUACUCGUGAGAAGCUUGACCCAGAAUUUGUUAGGUCAGAGGUUGCCCGUGGGAGGGCGAUCAUUCCUUCCAACAAAAAGCACUUAGAGCUGGAACCAAUGAUAGUUGGACGAAACUUUUUGGUCAAAGUAAAUGCAAAUAUUGGAAACUCAGCCGUUGCAAGUUCAAUUGAGGAGGAAGUUUACAAGGUCCAAUGGGCAACAAUGUGGGGUGCUGAUACUGUUAUGGAUCUCUCAACUGGGCGCCACAUUCAUGAAACCCGUGAAUGGAUCCUACGUAACUCUGCUGUGCCUGUUGGGACCGUGCCAAUCUAUCAAGCACUUGAAAAAGUCAAUGGAAUUGCUGAAGAUCUUUGUUGGGAAGUCUUCAGGGACACCCUGAUUGAGCAAGCUGAGCAGGGUGUAGAUUACUUCACAAUCCAUGCUGGGGUACUGCUGCGGUACAUUCCCUUAACAGCAAAACGGAUGACAGGAAUAGUUUCUCGAGGAGGAUCUAUUCAUGCAAAAUGGUGCCUGGCGUACCAUAAGGAGAAUUUUGCUUAUGAGCAUUGGGAUGACAUACUUGAUAUCUGCAACCAAUAUGAUGUGGCGCUUUCAAUCGGGGAUGGACUAAGACCUGGAUCCAUAUAUGAUGCCAAUGACACUGCACAGUUUGCUGAGCUUUUAACCCAAGGGGAACUGACUCGUAGGGCUUGGGAAAAGGAUGUACAGGUAUCUCAAUGCACCUUGGAAGUGCUCCUUUAGCAUUCUGUUCAUAAAAUGUUUCUAAAGUACUGCUCAAUUUGAAGCGUAUUACUGGCUUUACAUGGUUUUGAUUAUCUUAUAACUUUAACAUGAUUUUUUUUUUGGUGCUUUUCAGGUAAUGAAUGAAGGACCUGGACACAUCCCAAUGCACAAAAUUCCAGAAAAUAUGCAAAAGCAGCUUGAGUGGUGCAAUGAAGCACCUUUCUAUACCCUUGGUCCUUUGACAACUGAUAUUGCUCCUGGAUACGAUCAUAUCACUUCUGCAAUUGGUGCAGCCAAUAUUGGGGCUCUUGGCACAGCACUUCUGUGUUAUGUAACUCCAAAGGAGCACCUUGGGU
rnacentral:lncRNA from 1 species